rnacentral:rRNA from 1 species
CCUACGGGAGGCAGCAGUGAGGAAUAUUGGUCAAUGGGCGAGUGCCUGAACCAGCCAAGUCGCGUGAAGGAUGACGGCCCUACGGGUUGUAAACUUCUUUUGUCAGGGAGCAAUUGGGUCCACACGUGUGCCUUUUUGCAUGUACUUUAUGAAUAAGGAUCGGCUAACUCCGUGCCAGCAGCCGCGGUAAUACGGAGGAUCCGAGCGUUAUCCGGAUUUAUUGGGUUUAAAGGGCGCGUAGAUGGGAUGUUAAGACAGUUGUGAAAGUUUGCGGCUCAACCGUAAAAUUGCAAUUGAUACUGGCAGUCUUGAGUACAGUUGAGGUAGGCGGAAUUCGUGGUGUAGCGGUGAAAUGCUUAGAUAUCACGAAGAACCCCGAUUGCGAAGGCAGCUUACUAAACUGUGACUGACAUUGAUGCUCGAAAGUGUGGGUAUCAAACAGGAUUAGAUACCCUGGUAGUC